UUACUACUCAACCAUAAGUUUCCGUGUCCAACUUUAAUAGUCCGUUUUAUUUAUUUUUUAAAAAAAAAACUAAAAAAAUAAGUCACACAUAAAGUAUAAUUCAUGUUUUAUAAUCUAAUAACAAUAAAAAUACUAGUCAUAAAAAAUUAAAUAAGGUGAACUAUUAAAGUUUGACACGAAAAUUUAUGGUUGUGUUUAUU
rfam:Oryza glaberrima chromosome 5 Oglab05_0012_4, whole genome shotgun sequence.